rnacentral:miRNA from 1 species
CUGUGCUCCCACCAAGGGCCUCAUCUGGUCCUUGGCUGUGUAGCAGCAGCAGCAGCAGCAGCAGCAGCAGCAGCAGCAGCAGCAGCGAGUU